rnacentral:rRNA from 1 species
UACGAAGGGGGCUAGCGUUGCUCGGAAUCACUGGGCGUAAAGGGUGCGUAGGCGGGUCUUUAAGUCAGGGGUGAAAUCCUGGAGCUCAACUCCAGAACUGCCUUUGAUACUGAGGAUCUUGAGUUCGGGAGAGGUGAGUGGAACUGCGAGUGUAGAGGUGAAAUUCGUAGAUAUUCGCAAGAACACCAGUGGCGAAGGCGGCUCACUGGCCCGAUACUGACGCUGAGGCACGAAAGCUGGGGGAGCAAACCGG